rnacentral:lncRNA from 1 species
AAAUAUAUUGUUAUAACCCGGCGCAUAUCAAUGUUUCCCUCACAUAUUCAAUCGUUGAUUAGGGUUUCUCUUCUACUCCUCCUUUCUUUCAAUUUGAAGGUUUUAAAUAUGCAAUCUGUUCCUUCAAGGUGAGCUUCAAGUUAACUUACCUGAUAUAUAAUUGGUGAUUAGAAGUAAUGCAAGGAUUUAUUAGCAAGCAAAUAAUGCAAAGAUUGAUUAGCAACCUCAUUAUACUUUCAAAAAAGGUGUUACAACUUAGGGUUAGUACUGAGAAAGAUGUGGACACGACAGAGUCAAUGUGGGAGAUACAACAUCAACAUGUUGCUGAUAAUAUUUAAGCCAUCUACGAUGACAUGGGUGGAUUACUUUUAAAGGCACAUCAAAAUUCUUUUUGUUUGUAGAGGGAAAAGCAACAUCCCAGAUGUAUCUAACUCUCUUAGUCUAUCCAUUAAUUUGUUUGCAGGAGGUAAAGUUGAUAUACAAAAUAAGAAAACUUGAAUAGCAACAAACCAAGAGAUCAAUCUUGGAAUUUACCUAAAAGAUGAAAAGGGUGAGCUUUCGAUUUUAGUAGAUAGAUCCGUUGGUGGGUCCAAUACUCUUGAUGAGGAAUUGGAGUUGAUGCUCCACGGGUACAUCUUUCAUUGAUAAUGUCAUUAGUUUUCAUAAAUUGUACUUACAUAUAUAACUUUCAAGCUAAUAAAUUGUGCUUUAUGUUGUGCAUUAUGAGAAAUUAGCGACAUACUGUAUUUUGAAACUUACCACCAGCAUGAUGCCUUUUGUAGUUAGCUAGCUUUUUAUGUAUGAUAAAAGAUUGUCUACUGCAGAAUUUUAACCAAAAUUCUGCAAUUUUAAUGGUCAAAAAAUUGCACUUUUUAAGGGUUAAAAAGCAGCAUCGUUUGUUUCAAAUUUAUGCAUUUUUUUUGGACAAAAAACUGCAUUUUUAUGGGUCAAAAAGUGAACUUUUAAGGGUUAAAAAACUGCACUUUUAGGGGUUAAAAAUGCAGCAUUUGUUUCAAAAUUCUACACUUUUUGGGUUAAAACUGUACUUUUAGGGGUUAAAAAACCGCAGCGUUUGUUCCAACAAGAAACAGACUCAGUGGAGUAGAAACAAUCACGCGUGGGAUUGCUAGAGUGCAUAAAAACAAGGAACAUGCUGAAGUCGAAUUCAGUGUCCGUUCCAUACAUAUAGGUGAUGGAGUUGGGAAAGAAAUUGCAACAAAGAUCAUAAGCACCAUAAAAACAGUUCACACUAACUCUAACGGUUGAGAUUUCAUUGAACGGGAUCAAUCUUGGAAUUUACCUAAAAGAUGAAAAGGU